rnacentral:rRNA from 1 species
UACGUAGGGGGCGAGCGUUGUCCGGAUUUAUUGGGCGUAAAGCGCGCGCAGGCGGUCUAUUAAGUCCGAUGUGAAAGCCCACGGCUCAACCGUGGAGGGCCAUUGGAAACUGGUAGGCUUGAGUGCAGGAGAGGAGAGCGGAAUUCCUGGUGUAGCGGUGAAAUGCGCAGAUAUCAGGAGGAACACCGGUGGCGAAGGCGGGUCUCUGGGCCGAUACUGACGCUGAGGAGCGAAAGCGUGGGGAGCGAACAGG